rnacentral:rRNA from 1 species
UACGGGGGGGGCAAGCGUUGUUCGGAAUUACUGGGCGUAAAGGGCUCGUAGGCGGCCAACUAAGUCGGAUGUGAAAUCCCCAGGCUUAACCUGGGAACUGCAUCCGAUACUGGAUGGCUUGAAUCCGGGAGAGGGAUGCAGAAUUCCAGGUGUAGCGGUGAAAUGCGUAGAUAUCUGGAGGAAUACCGGUGGCGAAGGCGGCAUCCUGGACCGACAUUGACGCUGUGGAGCGAAAGCUAGGGGAGCAAACGGG